rnacentral:rRNA from 1 species
AUGGCUCAGGAUGAACGCUAGCGGCGGGCUUAAUACAUGCAAGUCGAGGGCAGCACGGGUAGCAAUACCUGGUGGCGACCGGCAAACGGGUGCGGAACACGUACGCAACCUUCCCAUAACUGGUGAAUAGCCUUCCGAAAGGGAGAUUAAUACACCGUAACAUAACGAAAAGGCAUCUUUUUGUUAUUAUAGGCUUCGGCCGGUUUUGGAUGGGCGUGCGCCUGAUUAGGUAGUUGGCGGGGUAACGGCCCACCAAGCCUGCGAUCAGUAACUGGUGUGAGAGCACGACCAGUCACACGGGCACUGAGACGCGGGCCCGACUCCUACGGGAGGCAGCAGUAAGGAAUAUUGGUCAAUGGACGAAAGUCUGAACCAGCCAUGCCGCGUGAGGGAUUAAGGCCCUCUGGGUUGUAAACUUCUUUUAUCUGGGACGAAAAAGGGCUUUCUAGCUCACUUGACGGUACCAGAGGAAUAAGCACCGGCUAACUCCGUG